AUUGAACGCUGGCGUCAGGCCUAACACAUGCAAGUCGAGCGGGUGAAGGGAGCUUGCUCCUGGAGUCAGCGGCGGACGGGUGAGUAAUGCCUAGGAAUCUGCCUGGUAGUGGGGGAUAACGUCCGGAAACGGGCGCUAAUACCGCAUACGUCCUGAUGGAGAAAGUGGGGGAUCUUCGGACCUCACGCUCUCAGAAGAGCCUAUGUCGGAUUGGUGAGUUGGGGGGUUAAUGGCCUACCAAGGCGACGAUCGGUAACUGGUCUGAGAGGAAGAACAGAGACACUGGACCGGAGAAACGGCCCAGACACCUGCGGGGAGACGCAGUGGGGAAUAUUGGACGAUGCGGGAAAGGCUGAUACAGCCAUGCCGCGUGUGUGAAGAAGGACUUCGGAUUCUAAAGCACUUUAGGUUGGGAGGAAGGGCAGUAAGUUAAUACCUUGCUGUUUUGACGUUACCAAAAGAAUAAGCACCGGCUAACUUCGUG
rnacentral:rRNA from 1 species